UAUAUGAGGAGGUAGAGGAGGAGGUAGAGGAGGAGGUAGAUAACCAGAGGUCAUUGGCAGAGGAGGAGGUAGAGGAGGAGGUAGAUGAGGAGGUAGAUGAGGAGGUAGAUCACCAGAGGUUAGUGGUAGAGGAGGUAGAGGAGGAGGUAGAGGGGGUAGAUAACCAAAGGUUAGUCUUAGAGGAGGUGGUAGAUGAGGAGGUAGAGGAGGAGGUAGAGGAGGUGGUAGAUGAGGAGGUAGAGGAGGAGGUAGAUAACCAGAGGUUAGCACAUUGUUAUUUCUGGCCAGUCACAUCACAACAAGGUCCCAAAUACCACAUACAGCGCUCCCUCUCUCGCCUCCCUCCUCACCCCCUUCUUUCCCCUCCCUCCUCUCCCCCUUCUCUCCCCUCCCUCUUUUCUCCCUUCAAGGACUAGGGCUGUGUACUCUCCUCCCUCUUCCCCCC
ensembl:lncRNA